AUAUUUUUUAAAUUUUUUUUUUGUAUUUUAAUCCUUUUAUAGGUUCAUUUUUGAAUAAAUUAGUCGAUUCAAGGUCUUAGAGCUUUAAUUUUUUAAAAAAAAUACAAAAUAUUGUUGAUAUAGUGACAAGGAUAAGAUUAACUUCUUUUCGAUAGACCAGAUAAAAUUUCAAAAAGCCACAAUAUCAAUAAAUACACUACUAAAUAUUUUUCCACUUUGUUGGGAUAUUCAUAUAUCUAAUCAAACAUUGUUUUACCAUGUUUCACCUCCACGUAAUAAUAGCUUGUUUAAUUAUCCUUCUGUCUUCUGGCACUAAUAACGCCAAUAUUAUACCAGAAGCUUUAACAAGGGCGACAGCUAACCCUAACCGAAAUAAUGAUGUUUAUAGAGUUUAUAUUGGACCAUCAACAACUACGAUAGGAAACAUUGUGAUAUGCAGUAAAAGUGCAUGUGUACUUGAAUAAACUUAAAUGCUUAUUUUCUCAUAAAACUCUUGUAGGUUAAAACUAAUUUUGAACGAUUUUAUCCAUCUCUUUCUUUUAUAUAAAACAUUAUAAAAUUUAUUUGUGAAUUACAAUGAAAAUUAAAUUAUAAUUUAUUUAUUUUGGGGUGAUAUAUGGGGAUUUGAAAAUCAUUUAAAAUUUGUGAAACAUAUUAAAUGUCGUAAUCUCUUAUUUGUUACAUUAUUUAAUAAUAAAUUUUCGGUUUAAAUUGA